rnacentral:rRNA from 1 species
GACGAACGCUGGCGGCGUGCCUAAUACAUGCAAGUCGAGCGGGGAUUAUGCUUGAUCGCUUCGGUGAGACGGCAUAUAUCCUAGCGGCGGACGGGUGAGUAACGCGUGGGUAAUCUACCUCGUAGUUCGGGAUAACAGGCCGAAAGGCUUGCUAAUACCGGAUGAGUUCAUGCUUAUGCAUAUAGGCAUGAAGAAAGGGCUAGCCCGCUAUGAGAUGAGCCCGCGUCCCAUUAGCUUGUUGGUGGGGUAAUGGCCUACCAAGGCAACGAUGGGUAGCCGGCCUGAGAGGGUGUACGGCCACACUGGGACUGAGACACGGCCCAGACUCCUACGGGGGCAGCAGUAGGGAAUUUUCGGCAAUGGGCGAAAAGCCUGACCGAGCGACGCCGCGUGAGGGACGAAGGCCUGUGUAACGUACUGUCUCGGGUGGUGGGAAGGACGGUACCCGGACCGGAACGGACCGGCCGUACCGUACGUACGUCGACGCAGCCGCGGAACGUAGGUAACGUCUACUA